GAUUUUGAGAGUGAUUAUGUGGAGCUUGGGGAUGAACUUGGGCUUGAUACUGAGGGGAAUGGUGACACAGUCUUCUUCAACGUGCACAUUAUUCAGCUAUAAUAGCAUCUCCAUCCUCCCCAUUCUUCUUCUCUCCAACGUUUCUUGAACCCUUUUGAAUUGCUUGAGUAGUUACUUUCAAUGUUGCAAAACUCAUAAUACGACCAUUUUUAAUUCCAUUCUCUAUCACCUCUCGUAUUCGG
rnacentral:lncRNA from 1 species